GCAUCGGUGGUUCAGUGGUAGAAUGCUCGCCUGCCACGCGGGCUCAAUUCCCGGCCGAUGCA
rnacentral:tRNA from 1 species